rnacentral:rRNA from 1 species
GACGAACGCUGGCGGCGUGCUUAACACAUGCAAGUCGAACGGAAAGGCCCUGCGUUUGUGGGGUGCUCGAGUGGCGAACGGGUGAGUAACACGUGAGUAACCUGCCCUUGACUUUGGGAUAAGUUCAGGAAACUGGGGCUAAUACCGGAUAGGAGCUCCUGCUGCAUGGUGGGGGUUGGAAAGUUUCGGCGGGUGGGGAUGGACUCGCGGCUUAUCAGCUUGUUGGUGGGGUAGUGGCUGACCAAGGCUGUGACGGGUAGCCGGCCUGAGAGGGUGACCGGCCACAUUGGGACUGAGAUACGGCGCAGACUCCUACGGGAGGCAGCAGUGGGGAAUAUUGCACAAUGGGCGGAAGCCUGAUGCAGCAACGCCGCGUGCGGGAUGACGGCCUUCGGGUUGUAAACCGCUUUCGCCUGUGACGAAGCGUGAGUGACGGUAAUGGGUAAAGAAGCACCGGCUAACUACGUG